UCCCAUGGUUCUUUCUCUCUCACCACGUCGUUCUCUCCCACUGGCUCAGAUCUAGAAACAUUUCGCCGCUGUGGAGAAAAUGUUCGUUUAGGUUUCUGAUUUUUCAUUGGGAAUGUUUUCCCUGAUUAGGUCAAAAUCGUUUGGCCAUGGGACACGCAGGUUUCAUUGUUAGCCUUUCAUUGGGGAUGUUUUCCCUGAUUUUGGUGGUUGAUUUCUUACUAGGGAAGAUGAAUAAGUGCUCCCUGAUUUUGAUAAUUACAACAAUCACAGGGAAGAUGAAUAAGUGGUCCCUGAUUUUGAUGUUUACAACAAUCACAGGUUUACGUAAUGGCUACCACAGUGCUUCCCACCGCUGCCUCUGACGUUCAGACUCCGGGAAUCCUAACACUGAAAGACUUUCGGGAAAAAAAUGGAAUCGUACCAUGGAUGGCCCGAGUUCGCAUUGUCGGAUGUGGCAUGAAUCAGACUUCAUGAAAACCAAUGAUGUACCAGCCUUGAUUUGCUCCUGCUGGAUGACACCGGUGACCUGCUGCACGCAAUUGUUCAGAAGAAAUUCAUCUGGAAAUUUGAACCCCUGGUAGAAGAGGGUAUGCUGUUGUGUCUUAACAAUUUGACAUUUGCCCCAGAAAAAAAAAUGCCCCGCCCCGCCCAGAAUGACUACCACGCCUACUUUAACUGGAAUACUGAUAUUACACCACUUGAAGCCUCCAGUGCGUCGAUUCCUCGAGACAAGUUCAAUUUCACUGAACUUGAGACCUUGCAGCUGCUAACACCAACACCAACACUUACCUUACUGAUGUUGUCGGUGUGCUGACCAGCCACACAAACUUGCAGCAGUUUAAGCGAAAUUCUGGCAAUGCAAGUUUCAUGCGUGAGCUAACACUGGAAAACUUAAGUGGUAUGAAGAUUAAGGUCACACUAUGGGGUGAUUCCACUUCUGAGCUUACCAGGAACCUUGAAGCGCAUGAACUUAAUCCGUGGCCUGUUGUAGCUGUUGUUGCUGGUGUCUAUGUCAAGCAAUAUCUUGGUACACAAAUCUUGCAGAUUAAUUUUUAUGUUAGCUUUAUGUGAUUAUGGACUAGCUAUUAUUUUGUCGCCAUUACUCUCCCUUUAUAGGUUUCUGAUGUAUUCUUGCUGCUGCAAAUUCAAAUGCCAAGUUUAUCUAACUAGACAUACUACAAAGUAGGUGCAAUAUUAGUUUCGUCCAAAGCUUUAUGUUGCAUAUUUUUUUAAUAAAUGUCUCUAUAUUGGUCUCUUCA